GCCAGUGGUCAAAGCCUCCAACAAAGCUCUACUGAGUGGCUGUAACCUCUCAGAGAGAAGCUGUGAUGCUCUGUCCUCAGUUCUCAACUCCCAAUCCUCUAGUCUGAAAGAGCUGGACCUGAGUAACAAUGACCUGUGGGAUUCAGGGGUGAAGCUUCUGUCUGCUGCACUGCAGAGUCCACAUUGUACACUGGAAACUCUCAGAUUGAAGGACUGUGAUUUGUCAGAGAUCAGCUGUGAUUAUCUGGCAGCAGCGCUGAAGUCCAACCCCUCGUAUCCCAGAGUGCUGGACCUGAGUGGAACCU